UGUGAACUCGAAGAGUAGGGCGGGACACGUGGUAUCCUGUCUGAAUAUGGGGGGACCAUCCUCCAAGGCUAAAUACUCCUGACUGACCGAUAGUGAACCAGUACCGUGAGGGAAAGGCGAAAAGAACCCCGGCGAGGGGAGUGAAAAAGAACCUGAAACCGUGUACGUACAAGCAGUGGGAGCACCUUCGGGUGUGACUGCGUACCUUUUGUAUAAUGGGUCAGCGACUUAUAUUCUGUAGCAAGGUUAACCGUAUAGGGGAGCCGCAGGGAAACCGAGUCUUAACUGGGCGUUAAGUUGCAGGGUAUAGACCCGAAACCCGGUGAUCUAGCCAUGGGCAGGUUGAAGGUUGGGUAACACUAACUGGAGGACCGAACCGACUAAUGUUGAAAAAUUAGCGGAUGACUUGUGGCUGGGGGUGAAAGGCCAAUCAAACCGGGAGAUAGCUGGUUCUCCCCGAAAGCUAUUUAGGUAGCGCCUCGUGAACUCAUCUUCGGGGGUAGAGCACUGUUUCGGCUAGGGGGUCAUCCCGACUUACCAACCCGAUGCAAACUACGAAUACCGAAGAAUGUUAUCACGGGAGACACACGGCGGGUGCUAACGUCCGUCGUGAAGAGGGAAACAACCCAGACCGCCAGCUAAGGUCCCAAAGUCAUGGUUAAGUGGGAAACGAUGUGGGAAGGCACAGACAGCCAGGAUGUUGGCUUAGAAGCAGCCAUCAUUUAAAGAAAGCGUAAUAGCUCACUGGUCGAGUCGGCCUGCGCGGAAGAUGUAACGGGGCUAAACCAUGCACCGAAGCUGCGGCAGCGACACUAUGUGUUGUUGGGUAGGGGAGCGUUCUGUAAGCCUGCGAAGGUGACCUGUGAGGGUUGCUGGAGGUAUCAGAAGUGCGAAUGCUGACAUAAGUAACGAUAAAGCGGGUGAAAAGCCCGCUCGCCGGAAGACCAAGGGUUCCUGUCCAACGUUAAUCGGGGCAGGGUGAGUCGACCCCUAAGGCGAGGCCGAAAGGCGUAGUCGAUGGGAAACAGGUUAAUAUUCCUGUACUUGGUGUUACUGCGAAGGGGGGACGGAGAAGGCUAUGU
rnacentral:rRNA from 1 species